GGAGGGGUGGUGUCUCAGUGGUAGAGCAUCUGCUUCGCAUGCAGAAGGUCCCAGGUUCAAUCCCUGGCACCUCCA